CGGGAUGUAGCUUAGUGGUAGAGCUUAUGCUUUGCGUGUAUGAGGGCUGGGUUGGAUCCCUGGCAUCUCUG
rnacentral:tRNA from 1 species